rnacentral:lncRNA from 1 species
UGGGGCGCAAGGAGGAGGAAGGAUCACAGGUAGGCUGAGUUCUCACGGAGCUGAAGCAAGGCAGAUGGACUAAAGCACUACACUGGCAACAACAGCAGGAUGCCUGUCAAUGUUAUUGCUAUACAAGAACAGAGGGAGAACACACAGCGGGAGAGUGAGGUCCCAGUGGGAGUGGAUGUGUGAAGGAGAGCGGCAGCUCAUACUCGAGUGUGCUGGAACCGAGAACACCUGUGGACUGGACCCUUUCAUCAUCGACAUAUGGUGUGAUUCCAUGGCAGCCACAUCAGAAGGACCCCCAUAUUGGAUACCAUCGUUCUUGUAGCCACAGUGACAACAUUCCGUGUGUUUGAACAUCAUGGCACCUUCACAGAUGAAUCCCUUAAUUUGUGCAGCAUUAAGAAGGCAAAACACAAUCAUACUAUUAUUACUAAUACUAAUCCUAAUGAAAUCUUACAAAUUCCAAAUUUCUUCAUACAAAAGUGGGAGAACACAAUGGUACAGGAGGUAAUGUGGCUCCAGGGAUGUGAGAUGUUUUUAUGUUUCCACCAUGUUCACGUGGGUUUCCUAUGGGCAUUUUGGUAUUGCCACUCUCUGCAGGGGUAUGUUGUGCCAAUGAACUGGUGACACCAAUCAGAAGUAGUGCAUCUUUGAGUGCUCUAGUUACACAUGUAACCAGGAUAUACCUCAUUUUAUAGUCUGUUCUUCCUGGCACUGGCCUUGCAUCUUCAUGACCGAACAUGGACAAACUACAACUGAUAAUGGAUGAUGACAAUACAAACACUUUAUGAUAAAGAUUCUGCUGUGCAUUUGUAUUAAAGGAAUUGUCAUUCCUUACAUUUAUUGGUCUCACUGACAGGUUUCUCCAAAGCAGCUUACACUGAUUCACCCACUUAAACAGCAGAAGAACUUUUAUUGGUGCAAUGUACCUUAUUUAAAGGUUUUACAGCAAGUGGCAAGAUUUGAACCCAAGACCUUUGAGUCUAAAGAUGGGAGCGCUAGCCACUACACCCCUUGUUGAAACCUCUUUACUGCUAUAUUGUUCUUGUAUAAAGUGUCUGUGUUCGCCUGAGCCACGGCAGAGAUUGCAGAAUGAUGCUACUUACUGCGAUUCCUGAGUUUAAUGUACUCCCAGGACAGAAUUCAGUAUGCGAUAUGAAGAUGGGGAGACAAAAGGUAGAACGGUCAGGGUCCAGAAACAUUAAUUCCAAGAAAAAUACAUUUGAAUUUUUUAAGACUUAAUGAGUUAUGUUCAUGUAAAAGUGUUAUGGCAGAGUUCUAAAAAUGGGUGUCAGACUAUCAGCUUACAACUUAAUUGUCUUCAACCUUGGUAGUUCAUCAAAAUAGUCCAUCUUUACUAGAAACUUCAGAUUUAAAGUCUUUCUAAGAUUAAAUUAAUUGACUGAUUGCAACAAAACAGCUUUACUCACAACCAUAUGUCAUAUUGAAAACUUCAAUAAAGG